rnacentral:lncRNA from 1 species
AAUUUUAAAAAUACUUUUAUAUUUGAAAUAGACGAUUAUUUACCUACUUUAUCGUGAUUGAAAGCAACUUGGUUACAUCCUGGGAAAAUAGCUACACUAACAUUUGUUGGCACCAACAGAGAAGAAAGGAAAUGGAGGCAUUUUAAGACUUUCUUUGUACAAUGAAUAUACCUAAUGUUAGCAUUUUGAAAAGAAGUAGUAUCUUCUUAAGAAGAGCCAUUCUUCAGUGAUACUGGUAAAUUCUGGCCACUCUGCUCAGCCAAGUGGAUAUAAUCAUGCAAUCACUUCAGGUCCAAGACACCUCCUUUAUUCUCUGUAUCGUGGUCAUACAACCAGAAAUACCUGUCAAACAGCUGAAGAACCUCAACACUGUCCCCGAGCAGCAAGUUGCUGUACCACCGGCUGGACUCUUGGCCAGCCCAGUGCUUGUCUCCACUUCAAACAGCUGGCCACUCUAGGUAAAGCCCAGCCCAUCUCAGCUCCCUCUGUGCUCUUCCUCAUCACAGCUCACCACGAGCGGCGGUUCAAAUCCAGCAGUUGAAUGCCUCUGGUGCCCAUGUGACAAUCCCCUGCAAAAACGAUCCGAGGCCUUGCCUUGUAUCGGGUGCUCCAUCAGACCCUGAGAGGAGGAUUUGUGGGUGGUGAUGCAUUAAGGAUGACCUCUUAGAAGCCACUGUCAGACAAAAAAAAAAAAAAAAAAAAAAAGGAGUUCCCAUCGUGGCGCAGUGGUUAACGAAUCCGACUAGGAACCAUGAGGUUGCGGGUUCGGUCCCUGCCCUUGUUCAGUGGGUUAACGAUCUGGUGUUGCCGUGAGCUGUGGUGUAGGAUGCAGACACAGCUCGGAUCCUGCGUUGCUGUGGCUCUGGCAUAGGCCGGUGGCUACCGGCUCCGAUUCAACCCCUAGCCUGGGAACCUCCAUAUGCCGUGGGAGCGGCCCAAAGAAAUAGCAAAAAGACAAAAAAAAAAAGAAGCCACUGUCAAGGAUGUGAGGGAAACAGGCCAAUCAAGGAGGAGAAGUCAAAUGAGAGUUUGAUUUUAGGUGAAAGUCCAGCCUGAACCUAGUCUGCGGUGUGGAGGUUGCUUUGGAGUGUACAUUUCAUUGCAGAAUUUUCCCAGGCUGAAGAAAGGGAGCUGGACUUGCCUUAGUCACAUGCAGCUUUCUGCUUGUGCUGGGCAAAGGGGUCUUAGUGGCCCAAAGAGUGUCCUCCAAGGGAGUCACUCGAGGCAAGCUCAGAUACGAGGACCCACAGGGAUCCUGGGUAGAAGGUGGAGACGUGGUAAAGGUUGACCGGGGCCGCAUACCUGUAUAUCCUUUUAGCAUUCUACAGCUAGUCUUCAAAAGAGCUGAGGAAAUAGGCCCAUAAUUCAAAGGUAGCAAAAAGGAAUUCAUAUUUGUUAUGUGCCCCAUGUGUUACAUCAUCAUCUGAACUGACCUAUUACAGGUGAGGAUGUUGGCUU